UACGUAGGGGGCUAGCGUUGUCCGGAUUUAUUGGGCGUAAAGAGCGCGCAGGCGGCUUGGCAAGUCGGGUGUGAAAUCCCGGGGCUCAACCCCGUGACUGCAUCCGAUACUGUCAGGCUAGAGGUAGGUAGGGGAGAUCGGAAUUCCUGGUGUAGCGGUGAAAUGCGCAGAUAUCAGGAGGAACACCGGUGGCGAAGGCGGAUCUCUGGGCCUUACCUGACGCUCAGGCGCGAAAGCUAGGGGAGCGAACAGG
rnacentral:rRNA from 1 species